CAGAGGCAUCAUUGCGUCCAUCAUCGUCCUGCUCCCAGCUGCAUCAGCUCCAGUCCUGCAGAGAGACGAGAACAGAGAGCAACGCAUUCUCAUCCCAUGGCGUCAACAGGCAGACUCAUACCAAAGCCCCUUCUCGAGAGGAACACGAGCACGUUGUCCACAACAUGGAGUGUUAAGUAUGCAGAAUGCCGGAGCCACUCCCC